AAUAUCUCCUUCUCUCUCUCCAGCGGCGACAUCUCCGACUUUCCAGUUGAAGACAACUCUUCCCUCUGCCUGGUCGGCGUCGGCGAUAUCUCCUUCUCUCUCCCCAGUCGGGUGAAAUCUACUCUUUUCGAUUUACGCUUCUCUUCCCGCACUUCACUGACGCUAGAGACAACCCUUCUCUCCUCAAUCGGCGACAUCUGCUUUGACUAUAACUUUCUUCAGGUUUCAAGAUCUUUUAUGUGUAUGUUCUUAAAGAAUUUUAUAAUUUAUGAACUAUUAAUCUGAUUAUUUGGAUAUGUUAAAAAAUCUAAUUAUUUGCUAUUUGAUUAAUGUAAUACUGUUGAUUUUUAAAAUUUAUGGACAAUUAAUCUAAUUAUUUGAUUAUAAAUCAUUAUUUGCUGGGUUGCUGAGUUGUUGGUUCUUGUCAAUGAACAUUUCUCCUCCUACUGGGUUGUGCAACUGUUAGAUAGUUUAUUUG
rnacentral:lncRNA from 1 species